CCGAGGUUGCUUCGAAAGAAGUGCUUCUCACACGAUGUUAUGUCAACCUAUUGCUUCGGCUAGACGUGUCGUUAGACGUCAAGUUGAGCGACCCAUUGGUCUUUGGACGGAUGAGCGCUAGCCGAAGAUUUUAACUCUCUGUUAAGUCAGUCUGAUAACAAAACAAAUUAAACA
rnacentral:misc_RNA from 1 species